rnacentral:lncRNA from 10 species
CUCAUUCUCCACCUUGACUCAUUCUGAUUACCUACUCCAUCCUGACUCAUUCUCCACCCUGACUCAUUCUGAUUACUUACUCCACCCUGACUCAUUUUCCACCCUGACUCAUUCCGAUUACCUGCUCCACCCUGACUCAUUCUCCACCUUGACUCAUUUCAUAACCGUUUUUCCCUCCAAACAACUCACCCUGUCACUCUCUUUAAAUUACUCAAUCAGAAUUAGUUUAGCCUGUACGGUCUAACCCUAGCCAAUAGGGGAAUGACAAAGCAGUAGGGACCAUGUGCAUAAGGAAAAAUAACCCCUUUCCCUCCUUUGUCCAGGUGUGCACUCACCAGUCCUCCAUCUGUAAGGGCAUACCCUUCUAUAGAAGUACCUUGCCCUGCUGAGAAUUAAAAAGAAAAUUUUAUAUUCGAGUGCUAUUUCUUUUGUGGCACCGAAACUUUACUUAUAACAAUUUGGGGGCUCAUCCGGGAUUACAUUCCCCUCCGGGGGUGGUCUCUGGUUCUCUCUUGUGAGGAGGUGCACCCCACCCCACUGUGGCGGCCUCAGGGGUGAGAAAUCAAGACCCACCCAGUGUGAAGAAUAACCUGAGCUCUCAGCUACAUGGAAAGAAACUGGCUAGCAACCUAGCUUAAAGCAUCCUCCAUAAGGGCCACACAAGUGUGUGCAUGGACCGAGGAAAAGACACCAUGGGAGCCGGUAAAGUAUUUCCUUGGUGGUUGGGAGCAAGGAUGAAGAGAGCUACCCUUAUCACCACAUAUGGAGAGCCAGCACCAAGAUGAUUUUGUUCACAGACUCCAGCCACUGAUCAAAAGAGGGUGGAGGAAAUGUUUUCCAACCCUACAAUGCACACUGUAUCUCUGUGCAGCAUACACCUCUGUACGACAAUUUCCCUUGUUGUUUGCCUGAAGACACAUGAGCUGCAACUCUGAAUCGGGAAAUAGAACUUCAAUCACUUUCGUGGAGCAAUUGGGGAAUGAAACAACCUUGCAUGCUCCUCUGAGGAGUAUGCCAUGAGAGCUCAGAGGCUACUAUUAUUGGCUGAACAUUGGUGUCAAAAUCUUGAUUGAUGUCCAAAUGCUUCUGGUCUCAUCCUAGACUUGUGAGGUGUGAUCUCCAUAGGUCUAUUCCCAUCCCUUUCCCCUCCACCACGCCUAGUCCCACAUUCUUUUCUGCAUGCAGUGUGCUCUGCUCUAUUGAUCACCUUAACCCAGCUGUGCGCACUCUUCCACUUGUCCUGAAAACAGCACACCCACGUAGCCUUCUUCGGUGAUGUCUGGGCCAUGUGUUGGUGUUGUGCACACUCUUAUUAUGAUCAUUUGAACUCUUAUAACACAUUGUUUAACACAUGUGAAAACGUAAGACAAACUUGCAGGUUUCAGUUAUUUAAAGAUAAACCACGAUAUAAAUGUUCAUAUCUAUUCAAUAUAUUUAAGAUAAGCACUUCAAAUUCUCAUUUAAAUAUCUUAGUCUUGCUUCAUCUAUAAAGUCAUAACUUUAUUAGUUAAAAUGCUUAUUUGGAUAAUUUCAGACUUUCAAAAAGGUUGUGAAAAUUGUACAAAGAUUUUCUAAAUACUCUUCACUUAGAUUCCUGAAAUAUUCCUACAUUAGCAUUCUCUCUCUCUCCUCUCCUCUCUGUCUCUCCUCUCCUCUCUUGUCUGUCCUCUCUCUCUCUCUCAAGGUUCUACAAUUACUGAUCCUGACACUUAGGAUGUGAGUUUAGGUAGAGAUUUGGGAAGUUCAAGAUUGCUCAUCAUUUUAUCUGGUAAUGUCUUUUGCUCAAGUGACACCUUUUACUUCAACUGCUAUUGUUUGCCUCACUAGUUUCACUUGUGGGAUUUUUCAAAAAUGCAUCAUGAUUGAUAGAGUUAAAAUUAAUCUUUCUUGAUGUAAAGCAUAUUGUGUUCAUUGCUGUGGGCCUGCUAUGUUUAGUAUUGCAAUGCCAGUGGGUUUAUAUCACCUACCAGUUUAUCUUGUUAUAACUCAUCUGACUGCUUUAUCUCUGUGAGGUAGCUGUUUAGAGCUUGGGUUCUGAAGUCAGAUGAUUUGAGUCUGACUCUUGGCUUUAGUUCCUGAAUCCUGGACAAAUACCUUCACCUCCCUGGGCCUUCCCUUCCACAUCUUCCAGAUGUGCACAUGGUAGUGCUUAUCUCAUAGGAUUUUGUGUAUGUGUGAGGAUUGAGUCAGACAAAUAGGAAGUGUUCAGUAUGUUGUCCAUUGUUACAUUAAUCUAAAAAGAACAUUGGAUAACAUUUGAAUAUCUUCUGUGCCUAAAAUGUCUAUAGCCUUUCUCUUAUUUAUUUGUAAUUCUCUGCUGUUUGAGUUUCUGACAGGCUCUAUAUUUCUAAGCUUUUAUUUAGUCUUGAUUAAUUUUAGUGAAGUUUUUCUUCAAUUUAGUCAAAAUAAUGUAUUUACCAUAGGAAGUUAAUAGUUAAAGAUAAUUGUUAUGUUUGAUCUUUACGUAAUUAAAACUUGAGAAUUUUAUCCUUUCAGUUCCUAUGUAGGUUAGUUUUUCCUCAAUAUGGCUAAUGUGGGUGGUAUCUUGGAUUGAAAUAUCUUAUUUCCUCAAGUGUACAAUCCAUUUUAAAUAGCAAUUUGUGUGGUUGGUAACCAUUAACUUGAUAGAAACGUUAGGUCUGAAUCUGUCUCUACAAAAUUCAUGUGUUUGGAACUUAAUUUCCAGUGGGGUAGUGUAUUAACUCAUUUUCAUAGUGCUAUGAGGAAAUACCCAAGACUGGGUAAUUUAUAAAGAAAAAGAGGUUUAAUGGACUCACAGUUCCACAUUGCUGGGGAGGCCUCACAAUCAUUGUGGAGUGUAAAGGAGGAGCAAAGGCACAUCUUACAUGGUGGCAGGCAAGCGAGCGUGUGGAGGGGAACUGCCCUUUAUAAAACCAGCAGAUCUCAUGAGACUUAUUCACUAUCACGAGAACAGCAUGGGAAAAACUCAACCCUAUGAUUGAAUUACCUCCCACCAGGUCCCUCCCAUGACACGUGGGGAUUAUGGGAGCUAAAAUUCAAGGCGAGAUUUGGGUAGGGACACAGCAAAAACAUAUCUGGUAGUAUUAAGAGGUGGGAUCUUUAGGAGGUGAUUAAGUCACGAGCAUGGAGCUCUUAAGAAUGGAAUUAGUGACCUUACAAAAGAUGUGUGAGGGAGCUGUUUGCUGCUUCCACCUCUUCUGCCAGGUGAGGAUGCAGCAACAGGAAAACAUGUUGGAAGCAGAGAGAAGUCCUCACCAGACACUGAAUCUGCCAAAACCUUGAUCUUGAACUUCCCAGCCUCCAGAACUGUUCAAAAUAAAUUUCUGUUCUUUCUAAAUUAUCCAGUCUGUGGCAUUCUGUUAUAGCAGCAGGAAUGGACUAAGACAAUUUUAUUGAACAUCUAUCUAAAGAAAUGCUACUUCCUUUACUCAAAAAUAAAACAUGAAGUUUCUGCGGGUCAGGAAGACCUCUUAGACCAAGUCAUUGGUCUGACUAUGAGAUUCAACUUCCAGGAUCCUUUUCUGAGUCUUGCUUCUCUCUCUCUGCUAAAUUUAAGCGCUCCUGUUCACCGUGGAGUCACUAUGUUUAAGUAGAGCCCUGCGGCUCUCACACUGCAUGUCUGUUUGGAUGCUCUUGGGGGCCUUGCAGGAGUUUUAAUGUGGACUGAUGUAGGCAUGAGGAUUCUCAGAGCCCCAUGGUAUGUUUGCCGUGCAGUGAAACUUGAGGACCACGGCCUACCCAACCUCUGAUUCUCUGCAGCAACCCCCAGGGUCACGUGGGGACCUGCAAAGUUUGUUCUAAAAUUGAGGUGAUGAGAGGGGGCUGAGUUCGGAGUGCUACCUCCUUCCACACCAGCUCUACACACUCAUCUCCCCUCCACACUCACACUCCUCUGUGCAGUAGUGCAGGCUCCAAGAAAUUCCCUUAGAAAGAACUCCGCUUAACUUUGCUCUAUACAGCAUUUCCAAACUUAAUAUCAAAUUAGUGCUGUGGUAAUACGUGGGCUUAUUUUAUUAACACAUUAAAUAAGGAUUAGUGGCUAUUUCAAAACACCUGCAACAGCUUAACAUGUGAAAUAUAUGGUUUCUGUUGGUGACAAAGGUACGGGUACCGUGGUUUGUUAGUUGCAUUUAUAAUUAAAGGAAGAGCUAAAUUUCAAAUAAAAAUUACUGAAAAUAAACAUGAGAUUAUUUUUUAUCCCAAAUUCACAGACCCCCUCCCAACCCCACCUUCCUGCCCCAUGCUGCACUCUCUGUCCAUGGGCCCUGGUUAAGGGAAACCCAAGUUGGAACAGGACUCAGGGCUUUUCUUUGACCUGGCUUUUUACAAACACAAGAAAUGCAUGGGCUGGGCAUGGCGCUGGUGUGAGAGCUGCACUUUCUGUAGUGACCCGAAGCCUGAAUUCACCUCGACCUCCAGUUCCUCCUGCCUGGGAGCUGGUGAAUGCCCGUUGGAUCCAUUGGAAGGGGUGAAUCUCCCUCUUGGCUGUCUCUGUCCAGAGCUGUUCCUCAGGGACUUCCUUGCAUUGGGCUCCUGCCAGUCUCAGGGACUUCUCAGUCUCUCUGUUGAUGGCCCAUCAGAGCUCACUCCACUUGUGAAGGCUUUCUCCUGUCAUCCUUCCUGGAAGCUCUUUGAAUACCGACCACGGCUGAGCACUGCACUGCCUCCCUGCCCAGCUGCCACUGGGCUUGGAUGAUUUUCAACCUCAACAUGAAAGGGAAACUUUCAGAUGGCAUCUGGGCUUUGCUAUUUCUGGUGUGGUGUCAUUAAAAGCUGCCUCAGUCUAGCAUCUGUGAUUUCACUUUUUGAUAUAAAAAAGAUAUGAACUGUUAGUGCAAUAGUGCAGAGAAUGAUAUCCAACUUUUAUUUUAUGUAUAUAUUUUAUUUGUGUCUCAUAAAGGGGUUCAGGACACAAUAACCCAAAGCAUGGCACUUUGACAUUUGAGAAAACAGCAGAAGCAGGAAGGUCUCUCUCAUCUUACUCUGCCCUUCUACCCUAAAGCAGGUCAUGAGACCCUCAUUCAAGAAGUACACACCCUAUACCCAAAGAAAAGAAACAUUCUUAUCUCUGAAGACACAGAGACACACAGAGAAUAAUCUGAACACACCAGUCUUACUAAGCCACCCUAUGCCUCCCAGGUUACCACCGUUCGAUCACGCUCCCUUUGUCCAGCCAUACUUCCCCGAGACUGUCUACUCUUCAUCAAACCUAGCAUAAAAAACAUGUUUCCCUAUUUCUUUGGGUCUUUAUUUCUGAAGACUCCCAUGUCACAUACAAAUUAUAUUAAAUACACUUGUCUGCUUUCUUCUUCUUAAUCUGUCUUAUAGGAGCCUCAGGCAUAAACUUAGCAAAGGGUGAGAAAAUAUGUAUCUUUUUAUUCCCUACAUUUGUAUUUAUGUUGAAAUGCAAAGACAGGCAAAAAUAGAGGGCUAUACGAAUUCAGCAGGAUUCUAAAUUAUUAACUUGGAAAGUACUUUCAAACUCUGGAGGAAAGUUUCUAAUUACUUUUGGAAGGAAAGGCAGUAUUAUGUAAGAAAACCACAUUUUCUAUCAUGCAUUACUAAACUAACUACGGAAGUCACAUCCUUAUGCCUUUUUGUAGCUAACAUUGUUUCUGACCCCUAAGAACUGACUGAAGCAAACAGAUCAAGUUGAUUCAGUGUUAGGUAAAUAGGAGGGUGGUGAGAUUUUAAGAUAAACUUACCAGAGCAAGAAAGGAUCAGUGCUUCAAACAGGUGCAAAACAAGUAGGGGAAAGGUAGAAUUAAGCACUCUUGUUUUCAAGUUACAAAACGUUCACAUUUGUUUCUAAUGUUUACUUAAACACUCUAAUACCCUAAAAAAUCGACAUCCUUGAAUUUGAAGGUCAGUAAAAUAUAAAUAACACAGUUACUGCUUUUUGGAAUAUCUCUGUGGAUUCAUUCAGCACUCUUGCUAUUUAUUUAUUUAUUUAUUUAUUUAUUUAUUUAUU